CUAGAAAAAUGUGUAACAAGAAAAGGGCCAUUUGCAUGAAGCAAGAGAAAAGCCAGAAACUUUUGCUUUUUAAUGCUCCCAGAAAACAACUCUUUUAUUGAUUUUACAUCAUCUUUUUCUGAAAAAUCGUGCAACCCUUUUGCCCCUUCCUCCUUCCUCACUCUCUCUUUGCUUUUUACCCACACAACACACAGUAGUAUAUAUUAAGAAAGAUUCUUGCUUUCUUCAUUUGUAUGUUGUAUAGCAGGGAAAAAAAAAAACAAAUGAAGCUAAUCAGCAGCUAUGGUUUUACCUUAACAUUCCUGCGUUAAAAUGAGCUAAUAAUAAUGUCUGUUUUCUCCAGCUGAAUUUAAUAAUUGUUAUGUAUUUAACCAUUUAUGGCUCAUACUCAAAAUAACAGUAGUUCUGCGGGUGCUGCUGCUGCUAUUAGUACUAGUGGUGCGGAUGAAGUUAAGGCUUCUGGAACCAUUUUUCAUGAUUUUUUGGGCAAACGGUCUGCUCCAGAUUAUUUAUCUCCGGCAGGUGGGGUGGCAGCCGGCAGAGUCCGGCCAACAUCCGAGGCCUCUCCUUCAUCAGCUUCUGUCUCCAUUGGUGGCUCUUCUGGUGGUGGCCGUGCUCCAAUCUCCACAACUUCUGAUCUGGGUUCUGAACGACAAGGUGGAAAUCAUUUUGAAGGAGUUCCGUUCUAUGGAGCGAGAAGUGAUCUUAUUGGGCAUGAAACAAGUAGUAGAUUUUCUGGAACUAAGAGAAGUAACUCAGACUCGUAUAUUGGAACAACAAAAGAUAGAUUUCCACAAAUGGUACCAGAUUCUCGUGAAGGCUCACAGUUGAUGAAGCUAAUACGACAUGCUGGUGGAGAGAGACCAAGACGUCCACAGGAUGAGGAUGUGUCGUUUCCUAUGCAUUUAGUCCGGCCAAUUUCAGCUUCCCUUGUAUCACAGCCUUCCUCUGCUGCCAGAGCUGAAGGUAAUACUUCAAGAUUGGAUCGUGGUAUUCCAAUGAAUGUUGGUCCGCCUUGGCAGUAUCCACCACGUUCCAGUCAAGUUUUUCCUUUUGGCUACCAAGGACUAUCAAACAAAUUGAGAGACUCCAGUGUUGGUCCAUCAGUUAUAUCUCAAGGAGCUGCUGAUGAAGGAUCUAGGACUGGUAUUAAAGGAUCUGGACUUCUGAGCUCUAUUAACACAACUGGUGGAAUCUCCGAAAGAAAUUUUACUGGGGCAAUAGUCAGCAGUAGUAAGCUGAAGUCCGGGAUUCACAAUUCUGAACCAGAAUCCUCUACAACUCCAAACCAACACGGAUUUGCUUCUUCUGGAUGUCAGAUGACUAUUUUCUAUGGCGGUCAAGCACAUGUCUUUGACAACGUUCAUCCCAGCAAGGCAGAUGUUAUAAUGGCCUUAGCGGGAUCCAGUGGGGGAUCUUGGUCAACAACCUUCAUGCCAAAGACCACUUCAAGGCCAUUCACGGGAGAAAAUUGCACACCAAGUGGUAAAAGCAACCCAGGCAUGACAGGUAGCUUAGUUUUACAGCCGGAAGUGCAUGGGAAAUUGUCAGUCCGGGUGAACUCCUCUCAUGAGUUAAGCUCUGGUACUCAGCGGGAGGAAAUGCUGAAAAAGGAUGCAAAAGCUCCAAAUCAUGCAGCUGAUGUUUGUGCUGAAGAAAAACAUGAAGUAUGAUGUGGAUUUGCGUUUGCCUUGGCCUCACUAGUUUAGUUCUUCUUCAAGGAUGAAAUCAAUCUCUCCGUUCUUCUGCAAUUUUACUGCACUUGGCCUCAAUUUUUCAACAUUUUCAUACGAGGUAUUUACAAGCAACUGUCAUCUGCAGAGACUUCAUUAAGGAGUCCAAUUGACCAUCAGUUAUCAUCUUUUGCAAGGCAAAUUCUCCAUGCACUCGCAAGCAUAAGUUAUUCUUGAGUGCUGUAUUAGUACAAAGAAUUGCUCGCCUUCAACUUAAUUCCAACAUAAUUUUGUAAAUUUAAAUUAGGAAUUUGUCUAAUUAAGCUUCAUGUUUCUUAUAAUUGAUUGUUUCA